rnacentral:rRNA from 1 species
AGAGUUUGAUCAUGGCUCAGGAUUAACGCUGGCGGCGUGCAUAACACAUGCAAGUCGAACGAUGAAACUUAGUAGACUUCUUCGGAAAGACACUAAGCGGAUUAGUGGCGAACGGGUGAGUAACGCGUGAGUAACCUGCCUUACACAAGGGGAUAGCCUUUGGAAACGAAGAAUAAUACCCUAUAAAACCAUAAAAGCACAUGCUAGAAUGGUCAAAGUGCUAGCGGUGUAAGAUGGACUUGCGUCUGAUUAGCUAGUUGGUGAGAUAAAAGCUCACCAAGGCAACGAUCAGUAGCCGGCUUGAGAGAGUGUACGGCCACAUUGGGACUGAGACACGGCCCAGACUCCUACGGGAGGCAGC